UAGAACUCCCGUGAAACCCUGGGUACCAGAUCCAAGCCAUGGUAGGCUUGGAUAAACAACAGUCAGGUCUUCAAUCUUCUUCAGAUGCGGUCAAUGUAGUGGCAGGUCCCAGGAAGACAUGAUGUUUGGACACUUUUGGAAAAGACCCAGCUUCGCCAGGGGGAUAUCCUUCCGGGAUUCCCAGCUGCCUCCUGCUUUCUCCUCUUGAUAUAAAAGAAUAACCUUGCUUUUUA